rnacentral:rRNA from 1 species
UACGUAGGGUGCAAGCGUUGUCCGGAAUUAUUGGGCGUAAAGAGCUCGUAGGCGGUUUGUCGCGUCUGCUGUGAAAACUCGGGGCUUAACCCUGGGCCUGCAGUGGGUACGAGCAGACUAGAGUGCGGUAGGGGAGACUGGAAUUCCUGGUGUAGCGGUGAAAUGCGCAGAUAUCAGGAGGAACACCGGUGGCGAAGGCGGGUCUCUAGGGCCGUAACUGACGCUGAGGAGCGAAAGCGUGGGGAGCGAACAGG